UGAAACUCUGCUGUCUUGGGGGCUGAGAAAAUCAGGAAAGUGCACUAGUUUGACAUAAUCCCUCUUUGUCUAAUUUAUACUAAAACAAAUGCCCUAAUUAUGAUUUGAAGGCUGUUAGAUUUCUACCAUGGAGACGUUGUGGGGCCAUUGGGACAAAAGAAGAUAAUAAAGAAGGAACUCCUUUAAGCUGUGAGUUCUCUGUGUGAAGACUGCUAUUAAAAUCAUUUCAGGAGCCUUCAGCCAGAUUCUGUUGGAUGCAGUU
rnacentral:lncRNA from 1 species